GCAUAUCAAUAAGCGGAGGAAAAGAAACCAACAGGGAUUGCCCCAGUAACGGCGAGUGAAGCGGCAAAAGCUCAAAUUUGAAAUCUGGCCUCCUACGGGGGUCCGAGUUGUAAUUUGUAGAGGAUGCUUCGGGUGUGGCCGCCGUCUAAGUUCCUUGGAACAGGACGUCAGAGAGGGUGAGAAUCCCGUCUUGGGCGGCCGGGUCCGCGCCCGUGUGAAGCUCCUUCGAAGAGUCGAGUUGUUUGGGAAUGCAGCUCUAAGCGGGUGGUAAAUUUCAUCUAAAGCUAAAUACUGGUCGGAGACCGAUAGCGCACAAGUAGAGUGAUCGAAAGGUUAAAAGCACCUUGAAAAGGGAGUUAAACAGCACGUGAAAUUGUUGAAAGGGAAGCGCUUGCGGCCAGACUCGGGGGCGGGGUUCAGCGGGUGCUCGUCGCCCGUGCACUCCCCGUCUCCCGGGCCAGCAUCAGUUUCGACGGCCGGUCAAAGGCCUCCGGAAUGUGUCGUCUCUCGGGACGUCUUAUAGCCGGGGGUGCAAUGCGGCCCGUCGGGACUGAGGAACGCGCUUCGGCUCGGAUGCUGGCGUAAUGGCCGUAAGCGGCCCGUCUUGAAACACGGACCAAGGAGUCUAACAUCCACGCGAGUGUUCGGGUGUCAAACCCGUGCGCGCAGUGAAAGCGAACGGAGGUGGGAGCCUUAGGGCGCACCAUCGACCGAUCCUGAAGUCUUCGGAUGGAUUUGAGUAGGAGCGUGGCCGUUGGGACCCGAAAGAUGGUGAACUAUGCCUGAAUAGGGUGAAGCCAGAGGAAACUCUGGUGGAGGCUCGCAGCGGYUCUGACGUGCAAAUCGAUCGUCAAAUUUGGGCAUAGGGGCGAAAGACUAAUCG
rnacentral:rRNA from 1 species